UCCGAUUUAUGAUUUAGAUGUGGUAUAUUCUCUUUUACAACUAUUUGUUGCAUUUCUCGUUUAUAUGACAAUUAUACCCAUCAAGUUGACAUAGAUAUUUUUAUCUAGGAGGUAUGUGAAGCAGAAAUUGCAACCGACACUCUUGUCGAGAAAUUAAAUUUAGUUGAAAAAGAAAAUGAGUAUUUGAAUGAAAAAAUUAAAAAGAAUUGAAAAAUAGAAUAUGAAAUUUGAGUUGUAUGUUGCCAUGUAUGAUUAUCCCACAUAAUGUUUCGUCCUUCGUUCAUGGCUUGUUUCUGCCAAAAAAUUAAAAUACAAAGUCAAGAUGGGCCGGUCCAUGAGACAAAAAUGUCCAAGAAAAAGGAUAUUAUUUUCUUCCAAGAAAAAUAAAAAGGUUUUGCAAGACCAAGAUUCAAAUCUAAAAGCAUCUACAAUCAGACACUUCAAACGAUCCCUCAUACGUCCGCGGACACGUUUGAUUAAUGACCGGAGAAAAGAAAGAAGGAAAAAAUGACCUAACCGAACCCUUCAUAUCAUCCUUAUAUGCCUCGGUUGUCCAUGAACCUAUAUAUCUAUACCUAUAUAUUUAUACCUAAUAAUAAAGGAAGGAUUGUUUCUCCAAACUUUUCGGUUUACGAUUAUCCCACAUAAUUUUUCGUCCUUCGGUCAUGGCUUGUUUCUGCAACAUACAAAGUCAAUAUGGGCCGGUCUAUCAGGCAAAAUUGUCCAAGAAAAAGGAUAUCAAAAAAAUUGUCCAAGAAAAAGAAAAAGGUCCUGCAACCCCAAGAGUCAAGACUAAGAGCGUCUACAAUCGGAUGCUUCAAACGAUCCCUUAUACGUCCGCAAACACGUUUGAUUAAUGACCAGAGAGAAGAAAGAACGAAAAAAAUGAUCUUACCGAACCCUUCAUAUCAUCCAUAUAUGACUGGGUUGUCCACGAACCUAUACAUCUAUACCUAUAUAUAUAUACCUAAUAAUAAAGGAA
rnacentral:lncRNA from 1 species